GUAUUGUUAUGCGUUUACUUUUCUGCAUUGGCUAGAGGUAUAGGGGAGGGUUGAGAUCUCAUAAACAUGUUUAACCCCGCCGCAUUUUUGCGGCUGUCCCAUGUCUGGAGCCUCUGGCCUUUGUUAGUCUUGUAUUAUUUUAACUUUUAGUUUCUUGUGUACAAUUUGGAGUUUAGUAUGGUGUUCAUUAUCACGGAACCAGUAUAUAUUUGUUUAGGGGCUAGCUGAAGGACGCCUCCGG
rnacentral:lncRNA from 1 species